GAAUAUUCUUGAUGGGUUGUAGCUGGCUCUUCGGGGCAUGUGCACGCUUGUCUUGACUUUAUUCAUCCACCUGUGCACCCUUUGUAGUCUUGGGGGUUGAGAGCAGUCGACUAUCGGAUGGCUAUGGCUUUUCCGGACAUGAGGAUUGCUGAGUGCGCAAGCAUACAGCUCUUCUCAAAUGGCUUGCAAAACCUCUCCUUCAAGUACUAUGUAUUCAUAUACCACAUAGUAUGUUGAAGAAUGUGAUCAAUGGGCCUAUGUGCCUAUAACAAUCAUAUACAACUUUCAGCAACGGAUCUCUUGGCUCU
rnacentral:misc_RNA from 1 species